rnacentral:lncRNA from 1 species
GCCCGUUAUACACUAUUCUAAAUUGUUAUUUUUUUUCUUUAUUUUCCUGUAUCUAUAUCUCCUUUAUUCGGAGCAACCCACCCUAAAUAUACAUAUGAUAUACACGGUCUAUAGGUGAUCUCUUGUGCCGUGAUACACAUGUUUGCUUAACACAGGAUGUCCUUGUUUAUAUUUAUUUAUUGAAUGCUUCUCUUUGUAACUUCAUUGGGGUGUAAAAGCGUUGACCGAAGUACAUUUUGUAUGAAGCGCGGAAGCGCUUCAUUCUAAAAAAU